AGCAAAUAAUCAAAUUUGAAUAGUUUUAAAUUUGGAAAAUGAAUUUUACCAAAAUUAUCAUUUUUGUGUUCGCUUGCGUUUUGGCCGCUACCUGUGUAUCAGGCGCACCGAGUCCGAAAUGGAAGUUCUUUAAAAAAAUUGAGAGAGUGGGACAAAACAUCCGAAAUGGCAUCAUCAAAGCCGGUCCAGCAGUCCAGGUGGUGGGGCAGGCUGCAACCAUUUACAAAAUGGGAUAAAUCUUCAAAUACUCUGCAGUUUAUCACCCACAAAGAUUCUUCUUUAUGGCAGGUCAAUUCUUGUUCAUAUUUGCGAGGUAGUUGCGAGGUUUGUUACAUAAAUCAAAAAUCUUUUAGGAAUAUGAAUUAAUCCUGGUUUUCUUGGGAAUUCUUGAACGAGAACUUUAUAGAGUUACUUCUAUAUCCCUUGCGGGAUAGACAGAGCUAACAGUAUUGGAAAUAAAAUAAUCAAAGAAUUUCGUAAUAGUUGGCAGCCCUAGUGAGAUUUUAAUAUAAACCAGAGAUAUAGCAUUAUCAGUGGGAUUAUUUGAUAUUCUAAUUAAUUCUAUUCAUACGAUUACGUCUAUUCCUUACGGGGUAGACAGAGCCAGCAGUCUUGAAAAGACUGAUAGACGUUCAAAUGUUUGGCUAAAUGAUAGAAUUGAUAUUCAAAUAGUGACAAGUUGCUAGCCUAUCGCCUAAAAGAAGAAUCUCAAGUUUAAAACCCUAUCCCUCAGUUGCCUUUUACAACAUCUAUAGGAGUGAACCGAUUCUUUUUUCUAUUCGUGCCGGGAACGGCACGAAUAGAAAAUAACCCUGUGCCGUGCACACGGCACAGGGUUAUUAUAAUCUACCGAUAUAUCAUAAUCAGUGGUAUUAUUAAGAUUCUACAAUGUACUUAUUCGUAUUUUUUUAAGUCUACGUUAGUAUAUUCUAUAUAGCAUAUGUAACACAUUGACUGGAUUUAGAGUCGGUAUUAAGUCUACGAUUUAUUAGUGAAUGAGUUUUAUAUACAGUUGUACAGUCAGCUCUACAAAAGCUUGACCCUGUUUAUGUAAAUCGACCCCGUGGAGUUCACUGUACACACUUCAAAAGAAUUUUGUUCAAAUGUACGAAUAAUUUAUUUUUCUUGCCUAUCAAAAUAAAAGCUAGUCUGUAAUUUUAAGCAAUAACUUAUUUUAAUUAAGUAAAUAAAUAUAUUUUUCUACA